AUUGAACGCUGGCGGCAGGCCUAACACAUGCAAGUCGAGCGGAGCGGCGGACGGGUGAGUAAUGCCUAGGAAUCUGCCUGGUAGUGGGGGAUAACGUUCGGUAACGGGCGCUAAUACCGCAUACUAGCAGGUGCGCCUAGGUCGGAUUAGCUAGAUGGUGGGGUAAAGUCCUACCAAGGCGACGAUCCGUAACUGGGCUGAGAGGAUGAUCAGUCACACUGGAACUGAGACACGGGCCAGAGUCCUACGGGAGGCAGGAGUGGGGAAUAUUGGACAAUGGGCGAGAGCCUGAUCCAGCCAUGCCGCGUGUGUGAAGAAGGUCUUCGGAUUGUAAAGCACUUUAAGUUGGGAGGCGUUACCAACAGAAUAAGCCCCGGCUAACUUCGUGCCAGCAGCCGGGGUAAGUC
rnacentral:rRNA from 1 species